UGGUAUCAGAACAGCGUUCUUGGCUUCUCGCUGCCCUUCCACUGCCAUCCAUCAACCCUCCACAACCGCCCAAAGCAAUUCCCACAAUUGCUUAAAAGAUCGUCGCCAAAUUCCACCGUCAUCUCCACCACCGCAGAUCAUCCUUUGAUCUCCCUAUGAAUUGCAACAGGUUCUGGUUUCCUACCUUACUGCUACUGCAAUUUAGUUAUCCCUAUUCGAAAAUCCAAAAAAAAAAAAAAUUUCGUUUCUAUAUUGCUGCAAAUUUCAUCGUAAGUUGUUGAAAUUUUUCGACGAGAAUUCUGCUAUCGCAACUUACACCAAUUUUCUUGCUGUUACUGCUGAAAUUUUCUUGAUUAAAUUGGA
rnacentral:lncRNA from 1 species